rnacentral:rRNA from 1 species
GACGAACGCUGGCGGCGUGCUUAACACAUGCAAGUCGAACGGAAAGGCCCUGCUUUUGUGGGGUGCUCGAGUGGCGAACGGGUGAGUAACACGUGAGUAACCUGCCCUUGACUUUGGGAUAACUUCAGGAAACUGGGGCUAAUACCGGAUAGGAGCUCCUGCUGCAUGGUGGGGGUUGGAAAGUUUCGGCGGUUGGGGAUGGACUCGCGGCUUAUCAGCUUGUUGGUGGGGUAGUGGCUUACCAAGGCUUUGACGGGUAGCCGGCCUGAGAGGGGGACCGGCCACAUUGGGACUGAGGUACGGCCCAGACUCCUACGGGAGGCAGCGGUGGAGAGUAUUGCACAAUGGGCGGAAGCCUGAUGCAGCAACGCCGCGUGCGGGAUGACGGCCUUCGGGUUGUAAACCGCUUUCGCCUGUGACGAAGCGUGAGUGACGGUAAUGGGUAAAGAAGCACCGGCUAACUACGUG